rnacentral:lncRNA from 1 species
GUAUUAACACUAAAGCCCAGAGGUAAUAACACUAAAGCCCAGAGGUAAUAACACUACAGUAAAGCUCAGAGGUAUUAACUCUAAAGCCCAGAGAUAAUAACACUAAAUCCAAGAGGUAAUAACACUACAGUAAAGCCCAGAGGUAUUAACACUAAAGCCCAGAGGUAUUAACACUAAAGCCCAGAGGUAAUAACACUAAAUCCAAGAGGUAAUAACACUACAGUAAAGCCCAGAGGUAUUAACACUAAGGUAAAGCCCAGGAGGUGGUGUGCUGUCUACAGCAGCAAGAAAAUGACAUGUGCCUAAUGGUGUGUCGAUUCCUCAGCCAGUUCCAGUGAUUGUAGAGCUACUGCUGGCUGUCAUUACUGUCAUUACAGAGAGUGAAUGACAGCUCUGUCUGUCUCCUGCCGUGUGACGUUAGCAGGCUCUGGGCCAUGCCAUCCGCAGCGGGAAUGGUGAACUGACGCCACGCCACAAACUACACACUGCUUCCUGUCAGGCCCGACACCGAGUCAGACAACACUUCCUGUCUUCUUACUGCUCUCUCUCUCUCCCCCAAUUGGCCGAAAGACAACAAUCCUCCAAAAACGUGUGGUGCUGCACAUGAAUAAUACUGAAGAAUGUGUUUUUUUUGCAUAACAUGCAGCUUUUGAUUGCAACAUCGUAGAUCAGUUCUCAUCAUUCAGUUGAAUUGGUUAUGUGUGUGUAGACACC